CACCCCACCCCCAGAAAGGUCUAGAAUCUUGCCAGGAACCAAAGAUUAUAACACAGCAUUGGAGCCAAAAAUUGCUUAUGCGAGAACUUGAUGCGAAUCAGAUGACCGCUUCUCUUUUGGUGGAACUUGGGAUGUCUUCGAGAUCCUGCCUAUGAGCCGAACAAGGGCAACAGCAACAGACACCCCAACGGGCCCAUGAAACUAAGCUCACUUCCGUUUUACGACAUUUCCGGACAGAGACUCAAGCCUUUCACUCCACCAUGGGUCCUAGAUCAGGACCUGUCUAUGCCAGGAAAGAGGAAAAUACCAUUGUGGCCCAGUCGGCCUGCAGGUCACGAGACAAAACAGACAACCAGCUGUGCCCCGGGUUCCAGGAACUACAGAAAAUCACAGACCUUGGAAUACGAAGACCACCAGCAACAGGACUGGCAAAGGACUAGGCUUCGGGUUGUGUUUUACCCCGGCCUCUGGUUAUGUGACUAGCUAAGAGGGAAACUAGGCACCAAGGCAAAGGUGAGGUGACCGGGCAAGUCUAAAGUUGUACUGAGUAGAGGCAAAGACUGCACAAGAAUGAAAGAAAAAGACCAAGUAAUGAGGGGCAUGAGCUAAUGUCCAACCCUGACUGAACAAAUUAUUUUCCCACACAUGUAUUCCGAAGACUGAAGAAACAGUAUUACAUACACUCUUUUGAGCGCUUUCUGACCAACAUUUUUCUAUUAAAGGUUAUGCUUCUCGGGAGCCAGUAUCAAAGCUUCUUGUGGCUUGUCAGUAAAUUUAAGAGGCCAAAUCUGUGUAAAUUUAAAUUACAUAAAACCUCUCCCUCAAUUGCCUGGUCUCAGAAUAGCCCCUUUCACUGGGCAUUAUCAUCAGGGAAUAUAAACGCCUUUAUCAUAGGAGCCCAGGCUUUUGAAAUCUUGGCAUAAUCGAAUUUCCUCCUCCCAAGGCAUAUCAAACAACAUUGCAGAAUGGAGUCUAAUUUGCUUUUUAACCAAAAGGUUCUUUCCUCUGCUUAUUUGAAGACUAUUUCUAUAUAACAAAUGCAGUGUUCUCUAUGACCACCCCCCUGCCAGAUGGCAGUGCCUGGAAGCCUACACGGUCACCCUAAGGGCAAAGAUUGACGGAAUUGUGAGGGAAAAAAACAGCAGGACACUCUGUGCAUCGGGGAGACAGUGGGGACCGCAUGAGCAGACACCUGAAAGCAUCAAAAGGUGGGCAUAUACUUAACUAACGAAGUCCUGAACAUGGGGGCAAGCGUCGCCCGCCCGUGAAUUGGCCUUCUCUGUCUGUCAGCUGGUGUGAAAACCUGGGAAUCUUUUGUUGACAGUGUCUGUAAGCUACCCUGAACCCCAAGCAGAUGAUUCAAGGCUGAGAAUACAUUCUGAUGCCGACACAGACAAUGGAACAGACAGACAAGGUCAGACGCAGGAAAUGUGGUACUUGGAGCACCGUUAGCCCGGACUAGCAUGAGCCUCUGGGGAUUCUCUAUGGAAGUAAGUGGAUGGACUGCAGAAAAGACACAUGGGUUCCCUUUCUGUUCUAAGCCUUUUUCUUCCCAACCUUUGAGGGGUUUUGAAUAUAUAAGGAAUUUAGCACGGGGUGUAGGGGAUUCAGUGUCUUGGCCAAAGAAUUUGCCUUGAGGCUCACAAGAUCUUCCUAGUAUAUAUGCUAAAUUUUUAUGAUUUACAUUUAGAAGCAGCUCGGUGAGGGGGCUCUUGGGCUCUGGUCUCCGGGCUCCAGGCUCCAGGCUCAGGUGGGCAUCAGUUGAUAACAAGAGAUCUGAGGAGAUCAUGAUAAUCAUUUUGUUCUACUUCAUUGUUCUUAAUGGGACUGUCUUAGAGCUAAGGCUGCAUCUGAUUCCGAUCAUGCACUGAAGAAGAGUCAGGGGCCCACUAGAUGGCAGCAGAUGGUAAGAAAUGUGAACUGAGGCCGCCUCCUGGAGAGCUAGGCUUGCAGCCCUCCAUUUUGCUUUGCAUCUUUAAUGAGAUAUGUGAGGAAAAUGAGUCCCUUACAUGCCAGUUACAGAUGCCACAGCAUAUGGAGAGAUACCGCAUAGCAAUCUUUCUCUGUUUAUUAAACAGGAGGCAGCUAACGAGUCACUCGCUGCACCCUGCUGCCAUUGUCCUUUAAGUUGCUGGAUACUGUUGUUGACAAGGUAAUAACAAGAGAAAGAGGGUUAAGCAGAAUGACAGAGAGGUGUGGACUUCGAGAUUACAAGGCGUCGUCAAGUUGAGGUACAGAGCAAAUCACUAGCGAAGGGCGAGAGACCCUGGGUAGCUUUCUGCUACCACAUGCCUCCCCUGGGGCGUCCGCUGCUCUCUCCUCUCCUUGGCAGACCUUGGGGGUUCAUUUAUCUAGAGCCUCUAUUACCACUAGACAAGCUUGGUGGUCUGACCUUUCACCACAAACCCCAAAUGGGAAAGGGAGCUCUGGGCAUUUUAAAGAGCAAACUGCACUUGCUGUUGUAGCAGACUGAAAAGACAUCGCAUGACCGGAAUGCGUUAGGAUGCAUCCACCUAUGGGGGCCUGCUUUCUAAGCUGCCCAAAACAAAAGUAGGGGUCCACUCUUGCUGGCUGCAGACAUAACACACCACGGUGUGUGGUGUGUCCCAGGUCUGAAGCUAAUUUUGCUGUUUCAUUUCUGUAUUUCUGUAAUUCUUUUUUCUUUCUUUCUUUUUUCCCCAUUUACCGAGUACAACAAUUUGCUAUUGAUUUCUUCUAACCCAGGUCUUCGGACGCCCUGGGUGGUUUCUGAGAACAGGUUACAAAUCCAGACACCCCUCUUCUGCCUGUUAAGAAACUGGACUGUCCUCCAUUAACCACAAGGCCCGCGGUUACCAGGACUUCUCAGAGUCAUUCAUUAAAAUCUUCAUAUUGAGGUAAAUAAUUCGGUCACUUUGCAGACAGAAAAACGCAGGCAUGGAACUGAGACACAGCUUCGUCUCUCCUGGUCAGCAUCCCUUUCCUCUGUUUACCCCUCCAUGGACACCAAGGUUCCCUGCCACUGUUUGCCAGUCCCCUUAGAACAGCUCCAUAUGCCAGAAACUCUGCCCAUCUGUGUGACCUUAAACAGCCUGUAUCCUGUCCAUACCUCGUUUGUGAUAUUGUAGCUUGAGGUCCUGGAAUUAGAUGAUGACUAAGCCCUCUUCCAGCUCUGCCAUCUUUUAGCUUUACUUUCCCAAGCUUCUGUCAGCCCUCAAAGGAUGGCACACGGGACACUGUUUCCAACCAUGGGCCCACUCAGCAGGGCCCAGCGACAUUUGUCUUCCUGUAGAGAAGAAUUGUGGCAGCGUUGGACUCUUGUUGACAUUCUUUGUCCUCUGAAGGAAACAAACCGGGAGGCUUCAGAAGUCAUUGAUACCGACAACAGGGCCUGGGGUGGUCACACCCCUGAGGAAGGAACCUGCAGAGCUGUCCCUGUGGGUGCUGGGAAUGCCUAGUCCAAGACCAAGUCCAGGAUGUUUUAAUAACUAUUUCUCAAAUUUAAAAAAAAAAAAAGAUCUUUUAUAUUGAGCAUAGAGGUGUGGGGGGCAAAUCACGUCUCCCAGGAGGGCUCUACUCUCGCCCAUAAUAGGGGAUUGGUUUAGCUCAGCUGCUCCUACAAAGGGUUGAAUACAGCAAGCAGCAGUGCAGGCAGCUCCCUGCAGCUCUAUGUGAAAAUGACUCACAGCGGUUAUGAACAUCAACCCUCCUUUGAUGUGUUCCCAGACGUGAGGAACAGCCAGAAAGAGGAGGUAGGCUCUGGAUGCCUGCUCUGUGGGAUGGUGCACAGAGGCCUGAGCACAUCUGGCACGAUCCAGAAACUCCUGGAGAAAUUCAGGCUGGGUAAUUACCUACGACUUCCUAGGAUAACACAGCUCUGUUUCAUCAUUAUUCUCUCUGUGUCUGUCUGUCUGUCUGUCUGUCUGUCUGUCUCUCUCUCUCUCUCUCACACACACACACACAGAGACAGAGACUGAGAGACAGAGAUAGAGAGACAGAGACAGAGACAGACAGAGACACAGAGAGAAUUAGAUUCUUCCAGAAACUGCAACCUGUUUCUAUACCUUCACCUUUCCUGAGGGGAUAACAAUUCACAUCCAUGAAUAAAAGUUGUUUUACUGAUCACAAAA
rnacentral:sRNA from 1 species